CACCGUUUCUGUGUGUGAGGGAUGUGUUCAAGUCCAUGAUGGUAAAUGCGACCAGGAGCGUCGUAGGGAAAACGAGGUGGAAGUUGAUGACGGCGAUGAUUUUGUCGAUGAUGAAGGAUUCGAUAGUUAUGAGGGAGGUGAUAGUGAGGAAGACGAUGAUGGGGAAGAGGAUGACGAUGAGGAAGAAGACGAUGAGGACGGAGAAAACCAGGUGGUGCCCUGGUCCUAUGCAUCUUCUUCAUCACCACCGCCGCCUCCGACAGUGACUUCUAGCAGCGAGGGUGAGAUUUCAGCCGGCGCUGGUGUCGCCUCGAAGCGGAUGAG
rnacentral:lncRNA from 1 species